rnacentral:rRNA from 1 species
GAACGCUGGCGGCAGGCCUAACACAUGCAAGUCGAUCGGUAGAGAGAAGCUUGCUUCUCUUGAGGGCGGCGGACGGGUGAGUAAUGCCUAGGAAUCUGCCUGGUAGUGGGGGAUAACGUUCGGAAACGGACGCUAAUACCGCAUACGUCCUACGGGAGAAAGCAGGGGACCUUCGGGCCUUGCGCUAUCAGAUGAGCCUAGGUCGGAUUAGCUAGUUGGUGAGGUAAUGGCUCACCAAGGCAACGAUCCGUAACUGGUCUGAGAGGAUGAUCAGUCACACUGGAACUGAGACACGGUCCAGACUCCCACGGGAGGCAGCAGUGGGGAAUAUUGGACAAUGGGCGAAAGCCUGAUCCAGCCAUGCCGCGUGUGUGAGGAAGGUCUUCGGAUUGUAAAGCACUUUAAGUUGGGAGGGAGGGCAGUUACCUAAUACGUGAUUGUUUUGACGUUACCGACAGAAUAAGCACCGGCUAACUCUGUGUCAGCAGCCGCGGUAAUACAGAGGGUGCAAGCGUUAAUCGGAAUUACUGGGCGUAAAGCGCGCGUAGGUGGUUAGUUAAGUUGGAUGUGAAAUCCCCGGGCUCAACCUGGGAACU